CUGUAACGGUGCAAGUUGGGAGCACGUAAGACCACUGAGAAGCGGAUUACAGUAGUCAAGGCGAGAAAGGACAGUGGAAUGGACCAGCACCUUAGUAGCAUCUGGCGUUAAGUAGGGGCAGAUGCGCGCAAUGUUUUUGAGAUGGAAACGACAGGAUUUGGCAAUAGACUGAACAUGAGGCUUGAAAGAGAGGUCGGAGUCAAAGAGAACACUUAGGCAGCGAGCCUGCGUGGUGGAGCUGAUGGUAGCACCGUUGACUUGGAGGGAGAGAGACAUAGGAGUAACAACACUGGAGGGAGGAAAGACCAGAAUUUCAGUUUUGGUCAAGUUUAGUUUAAGGAAGUGGGCAGCCAUCCAGUUACAAACAGCAGAGAGGCAGUCAGAGACACUAGUCAAGAGGGACGGGUAGAGAUCAGGAGAGGACAGGUAGAUUUGCAUGUCAUCUGCAUAGAAAUUAUAUUGGAAACCAAAGGAGCUAAUGAGUUUACAAAGGGAGGCAGUAUAGAUGGAGAACAGUAAGGGACCAAGGACUGAACCUUGGGGGACACCAACAGAGAGGAGUUGGGGAGAAGAAGCAGAGCCAGAGAAAGAAACACUUAAAAAGUGUGAUGGGAGAGGUAGGAAGAGAGCAAUAUCUUGUAGACCGAUAUUACGGAGGAUGAGAAGAAGCUGUUGAUGAUCAACAGUGUCAGAAGCCGCAGACAGGUCAAGGAGAAUUAGGAUAAAGUAGUGACCACGAGAUUUUGCAGCGAGUAGAUAAUUGGAUACUUUGGUCAGUGCCGUUUCCACAGAGUGCUUAGAGCGGAAACCAGACUGAAGCAGGUCAAGCAGAGAGUUGGACUCAAGGAAGUCUGUCAAUCUCGCUAACACAAUUCUUUCAAGGAUCUUGGAUGCAAAAGGCAGUAGCGAGAUAGGACGGUAGUUGGAUGGGGAGUUGGGGUCAAGAUUGGGCUUUUUUAGAAUUGGGGUUACAGUUGCAUGUUUGAAGGGCGAUGGAAAUAUACCAGAGGAGAGAGAGAGAUUGAGAAUUUUAGUGAGAGGUGGAGAAAGAAAAGAAGACAGAGUACGGAUGAGAUGUGAGGGAAUUGGAUCUAGGGAGCAGGUGGUGGGGCUGGAGGAAUUAAGCAGAGCAGAAACCUCUUCCAAUGUAGCGGGUACGAAUGAACAUAGAACAGCAGAGGGAGUGAAAUUAGGGGAAGUAUUGUAAGGGGAAGAAGAAAGAUGAAAGAUCUCUUCCCUGAUUGUAGAGAUCUUGUCAGUGAAGUGAGUUGCAAAAUCUGAGGCGGUCAAGUGAGUAGGUGGAGGAGGAACAACAGGGCGAAAAAGAGAGUUAAAUGUGUGAAAUAGUCAUUUGGGUUCGCGGGAGAGUGUGGUUAUGAGGGUAUUGAAGUAAUUUACUUUUGCAAAGGAAAGAAAUAAUCUGUAUGAGCUCAGCAUAAAUUUAUAGUGGAGAAAGUCAGACGCACAGUGAGACUUUCUCCAACAGCGUUCAGCAGUUCUGGAGCAUUUUUGGAAGUAUCGAGUGAGCUUAGUGUACCAGGGUUGUUGUUGGGGGUGCCUGUGGUAUUUAAAUGUAGAAGGUGCCAUGAUGUCUAGUUGAGAAGAGAGGGUGGAAUUGUAGAAGGAGGUUGCAGAACUAGGACAGGUGAGGUUUGAGAUAGGUAAAAGGAGAGUUUGGAGAUUAGUGGAAAAAUGCUCUAGGUCAAGAAGGUGGUGUCAAUUGGGUCUUAGGUAUGCCAAUGUCAAAAGUCAGCAGAUGGUGGUCAGAUAGAGGAAAAGGAAUAUUGGAGAGAUUAGAAGCAGUACAGAGGUUGGUGAAGGCGAGAUUAAGAGUGUUUCCCUCUGUAUGGGUUGCUAAAUUGGACCAUUGCGUAAGACCAAAGGAGGAGGUUACAGAGAUCAGACGAGAGGCAUCAGUGCAAUUAAAUAUAUAAAUAUAUAUAAUAUAAUUAAAUAUAUAAUAUAAUAAACUGAGCAAUAGAUAUUA
rnacentral:lncRNA from 1 species